rnacentral:rRNA from 1 species
ACGGGGGGUGAAUAAAUUCCCUGNGGCUGACGGUACCGGCUAAAGGAAGCCCCGGCUAACUCCGUGCCAGCAGCCGCGGUAAUACGGAAGGGGCAAGCGUUGUUCGGAAUCAUUGGGCGUAAAGGGCGUGUAGGCGGUCUCAUGUGUCCGCUGUGAAAGAACACGGCUCAACCGUGUGGAGCGGCGGAAACUGUGGGACUUGAGGCUGGGAGGGGCUGGUGGAAUUCCCUGUGUAGCGGUGAAAUGCGUAGAGAUGGGGGAGAACACUCGUGGCGAAGGCGGCCAGCUGGACCAGUUCUGACGCUGAGACGCGAAAGCGUGGGGAGCAACACAGGAUUAGAUACCCUGGUAGUCCACGCCGUAAACGAUGGGCACUAGGUGUCGGCGGUCUUGAUCCCGUCGGUGCCGGCGCUAACGCAGUAAGUGCCCCGCCUGGGGAGUACGGUCGCAAGGCUGAAACUCAAAGGAAUUG